rnacentral:lncRNA from 10 species
CCUGUAACCCCAGCUACUCAGGAGGCUGAGGCAGGAGAAUUGCUUGAACCCACGAGGUGGAAGUUGCAGGGAGCCGAGAUCAUGCCACUGUACUCCAGCCUGGGCGACAAGAGUGAACAAAACUCCAUCUCAAAAAAAAAAAAAAAAAGAAAUUUUUGUUUUGUUUUGUUUUGUUUGUUUGAGAUGGAGCCUUGCUCUGUCGCCAGGCUGGAGUGCCGUGGUCCGAUCUUGGCUCCCUGCAACCUCCCCCUCCCGGGUUCAAGCGAUUCUCCUGCCUCAGCCUCCCGAGUAGCACAAGCACGUGCCACCACGCUCAGCUAAUUUUUGUAUUUUUAGUAGAGACGGGGUUUCACCAUGUUGGCCAGGCUGGUCUCUAUCUCUUGACCUCGUGAUCUGCCUGCCUCAGCCUGCCAAAGUGCUGGGAUUACAGGCAUGAGUCACCCCACACCCAGCCGAAAUUUGGUAAACUCAAUCAAGUUUAUUUAUUUAUUUAUUUAUUUUUUUAAUGGGUCGCGCUUUUGGUGUCUUAUUUUCCUAACCCAAAACGAAAAAGACUUUCUCCUCUGUUUUCUUCUGCACAUGUUAUAGAGAUCGCACUUACAUUUGGGUCUCUGAUCCACUUUGAGUUAAUUUUGGUGCAGGGUUUUCCAUUCACGGAACAUGAAGUUGGAUUUCUAAUAGGUCAAUAUAUGAAAAAUUUCCCGCAAAGUUUUUCUUUUCUUUUCUUUUUUUUUUUUUUUUUUGAGACUGUCACCCAGGCUGGAGUACAGUGGUGCAAUCACAGCUCACUGCAGCCUUGACGUCCCAGGCUCUAGAGAUCCUCCCACCUCAGCCUUCCAAGUAGCUGAGACCACAGGUGUGCACCACCACGCUUGCCUGAUUUUAUAUUUUUUGUACAGACGGGGUCCCACUGUGUUGGCCAGGCUCGUCUCGCACUCCUGGGCUUGAGUGAUCCUUCCACCUCGGUGUCCCAAAGUGCUGGGAUGAUAAGCAUGAGCCACUGCACUCGGCCAGUUUCUAGUUUGGAUAUUUGAGUGGACUUCCCAGCCCCCACACAGCAUGCUCAUUUCGUGUAAGAUUGUGAGAGAGUGCGAGGAGAGAAAGAGCAUGCAGCCAGCGUUGGAGCUUCGGAGACAUCCCGGGCAGGAGCUUCCCAGGGUCUCAUUUGUUCUGUCUCAUGGUUGGCACACGAAGGACAGUGAGAGGAAUCUUGGUUUCAGGGGGCCUCAAACCAGACAUUUGAGGAGGUAGGGGAGGCGGUUGCCACUCCGCUCAUUCAGUGCAUCCAGGCUGUCUAACUGGUUAGGCCACUUGCAAAUGUGCAAACCUUAAGUAAAGAAACAGACUCUGGGGUCAGGGGGGAGGUUUGAACUGUAACUAGCGCGUCAUAAAUCCCAGCCCUUAUCUUGAACAAGAGUCAAAGACCGGACUUGAAGGCAUCCCCCAAGAUAAAGGGUUAGGUUUGCAACACAUGACUGGGGAAAUGCAUGAAAAGGAAAUGAUGCAAGAAUUCACCGCGGACACCUUUAGUGCUUUGCCAUCUGUACACCCGCUGCCUGCCCCCGUGGCUGUACAUUCCCACUUGCCCUUGCUGUGUUCAUAUUGGAAGCUGAGCCCAGCCUCUCCUGCACUGUGAACCGCCAUUGCAGUGGUCCCUGUACUUCACACGAUAAGCCUGGAUAAUGUCUUCGUUAUCUUUUUGGUGAUGCUUUCCCAAGUACGAGGUUCGUGCAAAAGUAAUAACUGCAAUUACCAACCUAGUAUCACUGAAUAGUUUUUUCUUUAACAAAGGUUUUGCUCCCGGACGAAUGAACGAGUGCUGGCUGCUUGUUCUUGGGGCUCAACAAUGAGGUGCAGACAGACUGGGGAGAAGGGGAUUUAUUUCUCCAACGGGUUACAGGGAGAAGGUCAGAUUAACUCACCAGGUCAGCUCAAAGUGACAAGUUUUUUCCAGGGUUUCUAUGCAUUUUAAGCUCUAUGCCCACGUGUAGGAUUGCACCUACGAGCGGGAGUAUUUCAUUCGGUUCCUGUCUAAUCUUUAACUAGGGUCUGGGGUCUGGGAAGUUUUCUCUAGACGCUUAAUCUUCAGUGAGCCCUGGUAUGACGUGUUUAACUUGUGCAUCAUCAGAAUUAUAAUAAAGCGUUAGUGGAAAAACUGGUUGCUCCGGCUGCUAAUGGAAGCCUGGCCUGCCACAGUUUGACUCAAAGGGAACCUAACUCUCAAGGAGCCAUAAUCCCAGCACUUUGGGAGGCCAAAGUGGAGGAUUGCUUGUGCCCAGGUGUUGGAGACCAGCCUGGGCGACAUAGGAGACCCCAUCUCUAUACAUAAAAGAAAAAUUAGUCGGGCAUGGUGGCUUGCGUCUCUUGCCUCAGCUACUCUGGAGGUUAAGGCUGGAGGAUCGCUUAAGCCUGGGAGUUGGAGGCUGCAGUGAGCUGUGAUUGUACCACAGCACCCCAGCCUGGGCAACAGAGCGGAACCCUGUCUCCAAAAACAAAACAAAACAAAAUAAAAAA